rnacentral:lncRNA from 1 species
GCCAAUCAAAAUUUAUUUUACAAAAUUUUCAGUGUAAAAGUGGCAGAUUAUCGUACCACGUGCAAAACCACUCAUUGUCAAUGUGGCUAUUUCUAUUUCCUUCUUUGGCACUUAACUUGUCAAAAGACGUCUAAUUACAUAAAGUAUUUAUUUGUUAACCCUUACAAAAGAACUAAUGGACAUUACAUAAUUUAAUCUGUCGCCUUGCUUUUUU